AGCAGCCGCGGUAAUUCCAGCUCCAAUAGCGUAUAUUAAAGUUGUUGCAGUUAAAAAGCUCGUAGUUGAAUUUCGGGACUAACAGGUUGGUCGCGCCUUUGGUGUGUACUGGUCUAGUUGGUUUCUCCCUUCUGACGAACCACGAUGUCAUUAAUCUGGUGUCGCGGGGAAUCAGGACUGUUACUUUGAAAAAUUAGAGUGUUUAAAGCAGGCAUUAGCUUGAAUACAUUAGCAUGGAAUAAUGAAAUAGGACGUUUGAUCUUAUUUUGUUGGUUUCUAGGAUCGACGUAAUGAUUAAUAGGGAUAGUUGGGGGCAUUAGUAUUCAAUUGUCAGAGGUGAAAUUCUUGGAUUUAUUGAAGACUAACUACUGCGAAAGCAUUUGCCAAGGAUGUUUUCAUUAAUC
rnacentral:sRNA from 1 species